CUAGGAAGUCCCCAAGAGCACAGGAGCCCAGAGACCUCGCAGGAGGAAGCAGCAGUAUCUGUGUUCCAAAUCCUGCCCAGCCCCCAGGCAGCCAUGCCUCCUGCCCCCAACAGGAUUCCUCACAUCCCAGGACCAGCUGGAAAAGGUGGUGAGAGUUGGAAAGAGACUGCUCAGUGAGGACUGCCCUGCGAACCAGCUUGGAUUCAUCCCGUUCACCUCCACGUUCUGCACUCGGGGCCGAGGGAAGGGAGGCAGCCCAGGCAGCUAGAGAACUUGAUGAAACACACUCAAUCUGAAUCUCGCUUGAUCGUCAUGCUGACCCAGUGAGUCUACUCAGGGUCAGGCAUCCUUUCCGACUACUCACUCAGCAGCGGAUCCCCACCCGCCUCUGACUCCCAGUGUCUUUCGGCUCCAACGUAAGUUCACCGAACGUCUAAGAGCUGAGGAUUCAAAGGCAUGUAAGACCGCCCCUGCCCUCAGCUGCAAGACCUGUCCGCGAUCCUACGAGCCCCAUUCCGCCCUCUUUCCCCGACCUUGGUCCCCCAUGGGCCCUACAACCAGGUCCCCGACUGACACCUUGACCAGCGAACACAGCAAACAGGCCCGCAGAUGCCGCAGGUCCUUCGGCACCGUCUCCAGGGCCAUCUUCGCCGAUGGGAAGAACAACAGGGAGAUAGACGACCACAGCCUGUGCACCCGCAGGAAGUAAAUAGCUCGUUACCCAGAAUGCCCACCACUUCCGGCGCUUAGACUUCCUCUUCCGGUGUGGGCGGACGCCAGCUCCGCCCCUACCCCCGCCAGAGGAGAUGGUUUCUCCCGCCAGCAGGCGGGGAGGCUGGGCGGCCGGCCGCCACCUGGGCCGGAGCGCGUCGCAGCCACCUGAGCCCGCCGAGGGCGCGGCGGAGGCUGUGUGGGGUAGUCAGCGGGCCCCCGGGGCGGGGGGGCGGCUGCGCUUGCGCGGGAGUGUGUCGGGCUGAGCCGCAGCGCCGAGACGCGGGCUGUUUGAUCUGGGCUGGUGGCCCUGGGCGUCGGUCCUGUUCCCCGAUGGUAACCCGAAGUUUGUUUUUUUUUGUUUUGUCUCCCCGUUUUAGAAGCAUUGGGGGCAGUGAAUCCACUGUCUCCCUCUGGAUUGUCUCUGCAGAGACCGAGAAGAAAUCCAGGGACAGCCCCACCCCUCCUUCCUAACUGCGAGAGCGCUAUAGGGUUUCCACUUGCUUCCCACAGGAAUGCUGGCCUGGGAGCUACGGCGGAAAAAAAUGCGUAUUUAUCUUUUAAAACUCCGUCUGUUUGCUCGUUCCGGCUGAUAAUUUAUACUUUGCGCAGUUCUUAGCGCUUAGACACGGUUCCUUUACUAAAGACCAUUUGUAGGAGAUUAGGUGUCCUUUUUUUCCCUUUCAUUUCACCGUCUAGGAAGCGAAAUGCCUUGUUCUAUAGGCACUAAACCACCACCCCUACCAAACCUUUCUCGGGGAAGCAGAAGGGGAACUUGUGCCUUGUGAGGAAGCGACAAAGGCCCCUUCUGGCCCUGGAGACUUCACGCCAAUGGAGCACCAGCUCUCUGUCCUCGCAAUAGCCCGAGUGCAGGCAGAACGCAGUCAUUUGUGUUUAUCUGAGAGGAGCUUUGGGAUAUAAAUAGUUUCAGGCCCCGCUGCGCUGUCAUUCCAGCCCAGCCUCCUGAUUGAGCUGCUUCCGGGCGGGCUUUCUUCUUGUUGGCGGUCCCAUGCUGUGUUCAGAUGGGCUCUGUGACAGGUUUGGAUGUUUUCUAUCACUGAAUAAAACUUUCCACUUUGGAACAUAUUUUCUACACUCUAUUAUCUCAUGUAAGUCCUGCAACAACUAUUAAGUAGGCCCAUUUUAUGGACUGAAAAAGCGAGGCACAGAGUAUUUGCCCAAGGUCUGAGUCACUGAAGUAUGAUAAUGUGUGAAGUGAACAGUAUAAUAAUAAUGACUGAAGCACAGUAAGAAUCCAGUCAUGCUUUCUCCUUCCCUGAUCUCACUAAGCCACACUUUUAGGGGCUUACAAACCAGUUCUUAUUGCCAAGCCCUCUACUCUACCCUAUCCUUUCAUGAAUCGGAGCCUAGCCUCUGAUAACAUAAAUAAUUUACUUCUCUUGAUGUAGAAAGAGAUGACGUUGUUACCCUGAGUGACAGUCACGACAGAACAAAACCACAAGACCAGACCACAUUUGUGGAUAAAUAUAUUAGCAAAUAAAUAUAUUUCUUAACAUA
ensembl:lncRNA TSPOAP1-AS1 TSPOAP1, SUPT4H1 and RNF43 antisense RNA 1